rnacentral:misc_RNA from 1 species
AACUUUUGGCAAUGGAUCACUUGGCUCUCGCAUCGAUGAAGAACACAGCGAAAUGAGAUAAGUAAUGUGAAUUGCAGAAUUCAGUGAAUCAUCGAAUCUUUGAACGCACCUUGCACCCUUUGGUAUUCCAAAGGGUAUGCUCGUUUGAGUGUCAUUGUACUCUCAUACUCUCUCAUCUUAGCAUUGGGAGUGGUGGCCUUCGCUGUUGCUGCUUCACUGUGUCUCACCUGAAAUGUAUUAGUGCAACCGUUGACUAACCAUAGUACGGCAUGAUACGCAUCUUACAGAGCCGUUCUCCGUAGGGUGGUCAGUCAAGAGCCCUGUGCUUCUAACUUUCUUUGGAGAAUGUUGACCACUUGACCUCAAAUCGAGUAGGACUCCCCGCUGAACUUAAGCAUAUCAAUAAGCGGAGGCU